AAGAGAUGUUGGAGUUUUAUUCCUGGUUAAAUGGAGAUGGAAAGAGAAACCGGAAAGAUGUUGGACCUGAAUUCACCUAAAAGCAAACAGAUGAUGAGAAUCUGAUAUGUAAUUUUAAAAAGUUCAGUUUCGGUUCUGUUCGCGCCCCUGUGGAGGAUCUGGACCGGUUCUGGUGGAUCUGGACCCAGCUCUGGUUCUGGGUGCCGCUGGUGGAGGAGUGACGUCACACCUGAACUUUGGACUUCUGUCCAGAACCGCAGAUGAAGUCAUGGAAACCAGGUGUGUUUGAUGGACCGGCUCCAUCUUGUUUCUGCUCGGCUCCAUAUCUGCCGUCUGUUCUUUGUGCCGGACUUGGCGGGUCGAGCCGGCGGCGUGAAACCGGAUCCGCCCGCAGCUCGGGCUGAUCUGGGGAACAAUGCAGGAGGUGUAACUCAUCCACAUUGUUUCUGACGGCCCGAACACGCUGCUGGAGAGAACCACAGCCUGAUCCAGUUUCACGGAAACACCUCCAGGCAGAACCGAGCCGAGCGGCUUUGGGCUGAAGCACGACGAGCGGAUUUAAUGCGAAACAUCAGGUUCAGAACCGAAGCAGAACCUACAGCAGGAACUCUGCGAUGGUUCUCCUUGGACUGGGCCUGUCGCAACAAGCAAAACAAUGUUUAAAUUACACAAAUUAAAACGAGCUCUAAGGUUUUAGAUGCCGGACCGGACCGGGUCGGGUUUUCUCCUGACCCGGUCCGGACCUUCAGGUGUAUGGCAGGCUGAUUUUAAAUAAAUCAGCUUCCACACAUUCCAGAUAUCUGGAAUUAGCUUAUGACUACAAAUAUUUAGGCCUGUCGUAGUAAAUCAAUUAAUUAAACUCAACAGUUUAACAGGUUCGUUAAUUUUCUCUUUCUACCAAAAACUGAAUGAAAAAAGUUUUCAAUCUGGCGUUUUGGUCUCAAUUAAACCUUUUCUGAAAGACAAUUUUAUUUACAGGAACUCAUUUUAUUUAUUGUUGUUUAUUUUUUAUGGAUUUGUUUUGGGUAUUUUAAAUGUCUUCCAGUUUCAGUGUUAAAUGUUCAUUGGAAUUUAAAGUUUAUUGAUAUUUCAGGAUGUGUUCCUGCAUUAUGAUGCCAUGAAAAUAGUCUCAAAAACAACAAUACAAUCAUUUAUUGCAAUAACGUCUGGAACAAUUUAUCAUCCAGCAAAAUGUGUUACAGUGAUUUGGAUCAGGGCUUUCUGCUUCUGACCCAAAAUGUCCAAAUAAUAAACAAAAUGUUGAACUCUUUCUGUGGAGAACAGUUCAGGUCCAUUUUUCUAGGUGUGACACAAACUGGAAGGAUUUAAUAUGAUCUUUUUUUCUGACCAAUCAGCUGCUGGGAAACCGGUCGCCAUGGGUUACCAGCAUUCACCUGGGAUCUGCAGGAAAAGUUUCGGCAAACAGAGGAGAGCGGGAUUACCAGAGCGCAGACUGGUUCCAUAACACCAACAGCGUCUCAGGCCCGUUUCCCACACACCAGGCCGAAACAUGUGGAAGCGUUUAAAGAUGGCAGCCUCCAAUCACCGCGUCGUCCGUCACCCGACACCGCCCUGAGAGGGCCGUGAACCCGACAGACCAGAGGUCAGCGGCGACGAGGCCGAGCUCCAGGGCGGACCGUGGGCCUCCGGACCGGGCCGACCGGCACGUACCGGGCCGACCGGGCGCAACAUGAUCCAGGCAGGAUGUGGGCUGAUGCCGUUUGGGUCCAAACUCUUUACCUCCUGAGCCAAAACUGUCAACCUGAAAGUAACUGAUAUUUUAAAAUCUGGCAUUUAAAAAUUGAGAUAAAAAGCUAAAUGUUUGAUUUUUAUCUGCACAACUA